UGAACGGAAUUGUGAGCUUGAUAGUGCAAUGGAAAGGUGGUAACGAGUAAUACAAAAUGGUAUACUCAUAUGUCAAAAACUGAGUUUAAUUGAAUGAGAAAUAAGGGUGUGAAGUGAGCCACUUGGUCUGAGUUUUUGCGAAAAAUCCUGAACCAAACCAAACCAAACCAAACCAGUCCUGGCGCGGGCUAAUGGGCUUGUGGGCUUGUAGGCU
rnacentral:lncRNA from 1 species